GUUCUUCCUGUCCUGUCAGGGAACAGAACAUUGUGCUGCUGUUCCAUUCCAGAAUCACAUGUAAAGUUUGACAGUGUUUGGUAUGGAAGCAAGCUGAUCCGUAUAUUAUCAUGGUUUCAGAACUGCUCAAGAAAGCAACUGAAAAACACUGAAUGAAGAAUAUGAGAGCACAGUUCCAAUGCAAAAUUAAAUGAGGAACACAAAGCACAUCUGCUCAUGAAUAGAACUCUUUCACUGUUCAGGCCUUCGAGGCAUACACAAGGAGUGAUAUUGCUGAUCCACAAGCAAGAUCCAAGAUAUGAUUGUAUCCUGGAUUUGUGGCAGAGUUCAACCCAGCCCUCGAUGAGGUGACAGAUGAACAGAAUGAAUCAGGAUGAAUCUAGAUCUGAGUUAGCAGAAAUC